AUUGAACGCUGGCGGCAUGCCUAACACAUGCAAGUCGAACGGUAACAGGCCGCUGGGAUCCCUUCGGGGUGACCUUGGCGCUGACGAGUGGCGGACGGGUGAGUAAUGCGUAGGAAUUUACCUCAAAGCGGGGGAUAGCCCGGAGAAAUCCGGAUUAAUACCGCAUGUGCUCUACGGAGGAAAGCGGGCCUCUUCUUGAAAGCUCGCACUUUGAGAUAAGCCUACGUCGGAUUAGCUUGUUGGUAGGGUAAAAGCCUACCAAGGCGACGAUCCGUAGCUGGUUUGAGAGGAUGAUCAGCCACACUGGGACUGAGACACGGCCCAGACUCCUACGGGAGGCAGCAGUGGGGAAUAUUGGACAAUGGGGGCAACCCUGAUCCAGCAAUACCGCGUGUGUGAAGAAGGCCUGCGGGUUGUAAAGCACUUUCAGUAGGGAAGAAAGGUUGUUGGUUAAUAGCUGACGAAUUUGACGUUACCUACAGAAGAAGCACCGGCUAACUCCGUG
rnacentral:rRNA from 1 species